ACAGCCUGAUGCCUGGGACUGAGCCAGCCUGGCCCUGCCCUUUGCCACCUCAGGCGUUGCUAGGAGACGGUGGCAUGUUCAGGCUCCAGGGAGGAGUGACUAAGGCCUGGCACCUGGUUCCCAGGCUACCACUGCCCCUCCCUGUAACGAGCCCCCCAGAGCCUGCUGCUUGGAUCUCCCCUUUCCCCAGGAUCCCAACCCAUAGCUGUGAUCCCCAAUACAUCUCAGCAUCUUCUCUCCCCCUGCAGCACCCAACCCUAACCCAGCCCCUCAGCACCUCUCCUGACCCCCCACUGCAUCCUGAUCACUCCCAAAUCCAGCUCAGCAUCUUCCUUCCUCGACACACGGUUUCCCAUCCCCAGUCACUGAGCAACAGCCCUCCAAGCCCAGAGGCUGCUGAUAGAGAACAGCAUUUCCAAAACCUCGGGAGUUGCAGCCCGGGAGUCACCGAGAGCUAUAACCCCCCAAAAAAGCCACCCCAAGCCCACACACCACCGUAACUCAUAGCCCCAAAGCCAGAAAGCCUGUAGUCCCCACAGAAAACCACUCUAAAAUUUAGCCUUCCUAUUCCAGAAACCAUUGAGAACCACCACCCCUUCAAUGCCCCCAAACGACUGAUAGGGCUCAGUGCUCUCCCAAAAGAAGCCUGAAACCCCAACCAGUAAUCACUGUUAGUCAUGACCCCCUCAAGACCCACAUUACCACCCUAAACCCCAACAUCAUUCUUAGCACAUGCCGGCCUUCCCUUUUAAUUUUCCCAGAAUAUUGACUAUCCUCUCUAUCGCCAUCCUUUGUGUAUUUCAAAGGGAACAAAAAUGUAUGGGCAUGCUUUUUUAUUUAUUAUUAUUUAUAUUGCAGUGGGAUCUAGGAACUCCUGUCAUGGACAAAGACCCUAUUGUGCUGUGCAAACGCAGAACCAAAAGAUGGUGUUUUUCUUCUCAACCCACCCAAGCCCUAAAAUGUGCUCGACUUUGUGAAGAGUGGCAAAAAUCAAAAUGAGGGACAGAGCAAAAAUAGUACAAGAGGAAUUUUAAGGAUGGAUUCUGCUUGGAUUUAGUUCCUGGCUUUGCUGGGCCUGCGUACAGCGAUCCUGUCUAGUGGAGGAGUUCUCAAACUGGUCUUUGAAGCUGCUUAUUUUACUUUGUAUGGCAUCUCCGUCUGCAAAGAUGUUAUUUAUCACGGACAGCAAACUUUUACUGGAAGCUUUGAGAAAGAAAGGACUCAACAUACUUUAUGGUUAUAUGUGGGAACCUGAG